rnacentral:rRNA from 1 species
AGGACGAACGCUGGCGGCGUGCUUAAUACAUGCAAGUCGAGCGAGAAGCCACCGCUCCGCAAGGAGUGGUGGUGGAAAGCGGCGAACGGGUGAGUAACACGUGGGUAAUGUGCCCUGAACAUCGGGAUAACAGCCGGAAACGGCUGCUAAUACCGAAUAACCCUGCAACGUCGCAUGACGAAGCAGGCAAAGUUCCGGCGGUUCAGGAUCAGCCCGCGGUGUAUCAGCUUGUUGGUGGGGUAACGGCCUACCAAGGCUUUGACGCAUAGCUGGCGUGAGAGCGCGACCAGCCACACUGGGACUGAGACACGGCCCAGACUUCUACGGAAGGCAGCAGUAGGGAAUCUUGCGCAAUGGGCGAAAGCCUGACGCAGCGACGCCGCGUGAGGAUGAAUGCCUUCGGUUGUAACCUCUUUCAGUAGGACGAAGCCUUACGGUGACGGUACCUACAGAAGAACGCCCCGCCAACUACGUCGCCAGCAGCCGCGUAA